rnacentral:rRNA from 1 species
UCGGGAAUCUUGCGCAAUGGGCGAAAGCCUGAUGCAGCAACACCGUGUGAGCGAGGAAGGUCUUCGGAUCGUAAAGCUCUGUUGUUGGGGACGAAGGGCGAAGGGUUAAUAGCCCCUAGCCUGACGGUACCCUUCGAGGAAGCCCCGGCUAACUACGUGCCAGCAGCCGCGGUAAUACGUAGGGGGCGAGCGUUGUCCGGAAUCACUGGGCGUAAAGGGCGCGUAGGCGGCUGUUUAAGUCGAGGGUGAAAGCCCGGGGCUCAACCCCGGAACGGCCUUCGAGACUGGGCAGCUCGAGACCGGAAGAGGAGGGUGGAAUACCCAGUGUAGAGGUGAAAUUCGUAGAUAUUGGGUGGAACACCAGUGGCGAAAGCGGCUCUCUGGUCCGGAUCUGACGCUGAGGCGCGAAAGCGUGGGGAGCAAACAGGAUUAGAUACCCCGGUAGUCC